UGUGCCCAGUGUGGGGCUUGAACUCAGGACUCUGAGAUGAUCAAGAGUUGCGUGCUCUACCAACCGAGCCAGCCAGGAGCCUCCCACCCUUUCCGCCAAAAAGAAAACCAAACCCCACCCUGCACCAUCGGUGGCCUGUGGCUCUAAAUGAGAAACCACCGGAGGCUGGAAAGUCUAGCAGGUGUGGCUUUGACCACUUCACCUUCCCACUGGGCUUGGCGGACCUUCUGCAGAAGAUGGAUUUUCCAGAAGCCUUGGCUGUUACUGUUGGCCUGGAAAUAACCUCACGGGGUAGAAGAAUCCUGUAGCUGGGAAUUAUGCAUUUUGCUGCUUGCUGUUUGAGUCCCGAGAGGAUGCCACCGGAAAAGGAAAAACGGGCAAAAAGACCUGUGUUGCAGCCUCCGUAAGAGCCGUGGUUAGCUUGGGCUGCCAUAACACAGGACCCCAGGUGGCAAGGCUUAGCAACAGAAAUUAUAUUUUCCUAAUGCUGGAGACUAGACAUCCAGGAUCACGGUCAGGCUUCUUCUGAGGCCUCUCUCCCUGGCUUACAGACGGCCACCUUCUCUCUGUUUCCUCGCGUGGUCUUCCCUCUGUACGUGUGUGCAUCUAGCUGUGUUUCUUUUCCUGUGUUCCCCAAUUUCCUCUUUUUAUAAGGACCCCAGUCAGCAUAGACACAAGUAGGGCCCGGCUAAAGACAUCAUUUUAACAUAAUCCCUUCUUAAAGACCUUCAUCUCCAACCACGCCUACAUCCUGAGGUGCUGGGGGUUAGGACUUCAACAUGUGGAUUUGGGGGUGGUGGGGACGACACAAUUCAGUGCACAGCAGCUAAGUGAGAUGGCCACAUGGACGGCAGCUGGUGAGAUGCACCAAGAGACCCAAAUUUGUGUGCAGACUCAGCCACCAGCUCGAUUUCUUGAUCCCCCUCCAGCUGCUCAUUAGUAUAACGUCUGUCCCCAGUGCUCUCACCUCCCCAGAUUAUUUUGGAGAUCAGACGUCUAGUGAGUAAGAACCCUCACGCAGGUAGCAGCGUUUUGCUGUUUGCAAAUCUUCGGUGCUAAAAUGGUAGAUGGCUCGUGCAUUUAAUGACGUUUUCUCUCUCAGUAUAAGUAGUAAGACGCGCCUGCCGCCCAGUUCUUCUACGUCACUGAAACCAUCCUGUGAACAGUUCUGGGAGCUGCUUCUGCUUGUCCUAGUGGGUUGGUUUCCCAGGGUGGCCAUACGUGACCACAAAGGACCCCUCGCUCAUCUCAGUAGCUUAAGAUAACAGGAAUGUAUUCUUUUCACAGUCCUGGAGGCCAGAGGCCCAAAGUCAGAGCGUCACCAGGAUGGGUUCCUUCCAGAGGCCGUGAAGGAGAAUUUGAUCCAAGCCUGUCUCCUAGCUUCUGGUUGCUUCCGGCAAUCCUUGGCAUUGCUUAGCCUGUAGACCUUAGAUCGCUCUUGGCUUCUAUCUUUAUCUGACCUCCUUCCAUACGUGUGUCUCUGUGCCUCACAUCUCCCCGUCCUUACUCCUACGGGACUCUGGUCAUGGCACUGAGGGCCCACCCUAAAUCCAGAAUGAUCUCAUCUCUCAGACCUUCACCCAGUUACAUCUGCAUAGACCCUAUUUCCAAAUAAGGUCACAUUCGUGGUUACACCGGUGAGGACUUGGACAUACCUUUGUGGAGGACACAAUCCAACCCAUUACCCACAGCAUCCUGUGCAUUUUUCAAGUCACCAGAGAUUCCUAACAUGGUACGUGUGUUCCAAAUAUCCCAGCCGAUGGCUGUGGUCUCGCUGAUGGAACGCUGCAGAUGACUUCACGCCCAGGUCCUGUGACUCUGACCUCUCCCAGCCCUGCCAAGCGGUACCCAGCUUCCCGUGUGCCCUGCGGCGGCGCGAUGGUGAGCCGUCAGCUCGGGUCCCUAGUGCCUGUUUUUUUAUUCCUUUCCCUCCCUGCGUCCAUUAAUAUCUUUUUCUUUUUCUUCUAUUGUAAGUGGUACAGUCUGGUACGGGGAUUCUAGAAAACACAGAAGAGUGAAAAGAAAACUAUAAAUUGGGGAACAGUGAUGCCGUGCAUGCUCAUUGUCUUCCACCCCCGUGUCAUUUGGGUUUGAACUCCUCCCCCAUUGUUUCAGGGGUUAAAACGGAGGGAAUGUGUGUGGAGGCUUAGCCUCCCCCGUCCUCAUGCACUUGGACUCUAUUUCCUCUCUGAGUUUUGGUGCUGACUCAAGGGGCAUCUCCAUUCCUUCACUGGCAGAUCCAGCUUUUCCGUUCCUUAGCUGUGACAUCAAGGACCUGUAUUAUUUUUCUCUCACUGCCUGCUUUGGGGAGAUCCUUCUGAUGAUUAUGUUUACUGGUGGGGCCCAAGGGAAGGCGUGAGUCUUAGGUAGUUGUGAUGAGAGGUGUGUGAAACCGAAGGGGUUGGAGGUGUAAGCGGAGGUCUGAGAGAUGGAAGAAGAGGAAGGUGACAGGGCCAUCGUAGGGUCUUCCAAUCUCUUGGAUGCUGGGUCCUGGUGACCCCUGGCACAUGCAGUGGCAGAGGAUGCUGCACUGGGAUGACUCCACCCCAGCAAGGCUCCCAAACCUUAUCUCCCAGGUUCUGAAGGACAUGGAGAAUUCAGUUGUCUUCUGCCUGCACAUCACCAGCCCUGUGAAGUAUGGGUCCCCCUGGCUGAGGUCAGCAGACAGCGUUGGUAAUGAAUUGAAAUAACAUUUUAGCUCGAAGCUUUUGUGAUAGAUUGUGGUGGUAGGUGCUCUGGAAGGGGCAACUGAAGUCAGCGAAAUGGACCCUCAUUUAUCCCUCCGCUGAACCAUCCAUUCAGCUAGCGUCGUUGGCACCUCCUGUGCACCGUUCGCCAUGAUGUGCCCUGGGAUUGUAAAGAGAAAUAAGAUGUGAGCCCUCAAGAAUCUCAGAGCCUAAAAAGAGGAAUAGACCAAGGCCAGCUGGGGAAUUGUGUUGAGAACCAACGUGGCAGAUGAAGGGAGUAUCUAACCUCAUUUGGGGGGCCUGGGAAGAUGGGCUUUCUGUGGGCUCCUUGGUAGUGAGCCGGCAUUCAGGACGGGGUGGGGAGGAGACACAGUGUCCAGGGACUCUGUACAGACAUGAGGAGACGAAAUCUCAAAUCAAAUCUGUAAGAGAGUGGAAAAGAGCCUGGAGAAGCAAAUUUUGUCCUGGACAAAAUUAAGUUGGCAGGAAGCAAGAGGAAAACCAAAGAGGAAAGUGUCAGCAUGUGGUAAAUAGCAAAGGACAAAAUAACCCAAGUUGGAAGGCCCUAGAAAGACAGGUGAGUCCAGAGACACCAUCUUGUGCCGACCUUGCAUGGCAGUAUCCGCAGGCUGGUGAGAGAGGAGCCCGAGGGAGAGAGUUUGAGUCUGACCCCUGCUCCUGUUUACUUCUCGUUAAAAAUGAGCCGCGUGUCUGCUUCUGGCAGGUGCUCGGGUCCACGCCCUGCAGCCCUCCACAGCCCUGCCUCGCUCAUCGCAGACAAUAAUUGGGAAGAAAGCCAUCGCCCGGGACUCAGCCACUGGAUGCAGCCAGGCAAAAGAUCUCCAGCUUUCAAACUUGAAUUCGCACGUCUCCUUUUGGUGAACCAUGAUCACAUCUGGGAGUGACUUCAGAAUUCCAUCACGGCUCAGAUGAGAACUCUCCUGGGGUACGGACUCAUGCAGUAGCACCAACGACAGUAGUAUAAGAGCACCACACCAUUGAUGAAGCACACGUGACACGUACAUGGCCAGGGCUGCCACCGUGCACGCCUUUGGGGGCCUCCGUUGGUGUCGAAUGCAGGACAGAGGCACUGCUGCUCACACCGCCACACCCUUAUGUAGAUAAUCUCAGCCCUGGGAGGUGGAUGCUGUCCUCUCCAUUUUACAGAUGAGAAAACUGAGACUACACAGGUUAAGUUUCUUGCCCAAAGCUACAUAGUCGCUAAGUGAUGGGGCUGGGCAGUAAUGAACUCAGGUCUGUUUCCAAAGCCCGUGUUCUUUCCUUGACAUUCGAUUACCCUUCUAAUAGAUGCUAAACCUUGUGGGAUCAGGGUCCCACAUCUGAUUCCUUUGUAAUCUCCCCUCUCUUCCUUUGAACUUAAUAAAUGCUCAUUGGCCAAAACCA